rnacentral:rRNA from 1 species
UACGUAGGUGGCAAGCGUUGUCCGGAUUUAUUGGGUUUAAAGGGCUCGUAGGCGGCCAACUAAGUCAUACGUGAAAUCCCUCGGCUUAACCGGGGAACUGCGUCUGAUACUGGAUGGCUUGAGUUCGGGAGAGGGAUGCGGAAUUCCAGGUGUAGCGGUGAAAUGCGUAGAUAUCUGGAGGAACACCGGUGGCGAAGGCGGCAUCCUGGACCGAUACUGACGCUGAGGAGCGAAAGCCAGGGGAGCAAACGGG